rnacentral:rRNA from 1 species
ACCGGCAGCUCAAGUGGUGGCCAUUUUUAUUGGGCCUAAAGCGUUCGUAGCCGGUUUGAUAAGUCUCUGGUGAAAUCCCGCAGCUUAACUGUGGGUCUUGCUGGAGAUACUAUUAGACUUGAGGUCGGGAGAGGUUAGGGGUACUCCCAGGGUAGGAGUGACAGCCUCGAAUCGGGGGAGGAGAACCUGUGGCGAGGGCGCCGAACCGGAUCGGACCUCACUGUGUUUAGCGUGACUUAUUAAUGUCCGUCG